AUUGAACGCUGGCGGCAUGCCUUACACAUGCAAGUCGAACGGCAGCACGGGGGCUUGCACCUGGUGGCGAGUGGCGAACGGGUGAGUAAUACAUCGGAACAUGUCCUGUAGUGGGGGAUGGCCCGGCGAAAGCCGGAUUAAUACCGCAUACGAACUUCGCGUGAAAGCGGGGGCCCUUGGGGCCUCGCGCUAUAGGGUUGGCCGAUGGCUGAUUAGCUAGUUGGUGGGGUAAAGGCCUACCAAGGGGACUACCAGUAUCUGGUCUGAGAGUACGACCAGCGACACGGGGACUGAGACACGGCCCAGACUCCUACGGGAGGCAGCAGUGGGGAAUUUUGGACAAUGGGCGAGAGCCUGAUACAGCAAUGCCGCGUGUGUGAAGAAGGCCUUCGGGUUGUAAAGCACUUUUGUCCGGAAAGAAAUCCUUGGCCCUAAUACGGUCGGGGGAUGACGGUACCGGAAGAAUAAGCACCGGCUAACUACGUG
rnacentral:rRNA from 1 species